CACCUCAGGAAGAAAGGAUUCAAACCCUUCUCUCACCU
rnacentral:tRNA from 1 species